rnacentral:rRNA from 1 species
AACGAACGCUGGCGGCAUGCCUAACACAUGCAAGUCGAACGAGACCUUCGGGUCUAGUGGCGCACGGGUGCGUAACGCGUGGGAACCUGCCCUUAGGUUCGGAAUAACUCCCCGAAAGGGGUGCUAAUACCGGAUAAUGUCUUCGGACCAAAGAUUUAUCGCCUUUGGAUGGGCCGGCGUUGGAUUAGCUAGUUGGUAGGGUAAAAGCCUACCAAGGCGACGAUCCAUAGCUGGUCUGAGAGGAUGAUCAGCCACACUGGGACUGAGACACGGCCCAGACUACUACGGGAGGCAGCAGUGGGGAAUAUUGGACAAUGGGCGAAAGCCUGAUCCAGCAAUGCCGCGUGAGUGAUGAAGGCCUUAGGGUUGUAAAGCUCUUUUACCCGGGAUGAUAAUGACAGUACCGGGAGAAUAAGCUCCGGCUAACUCCGUG